GUCCACGGCCAAAUCACCCUGAAUGCGCCCGAUCUCAUCUGAUCUUGGAAACUAAGCAGGGUCGAGCCUGGUUAGUACUUGGAUGGGAGAACUAACCUGGCAAGAAGGGAAGGGGGCAGAAACA
rfam:Myotis brandtii contig217213, whole genome shotgun sequence.